GACGAACGCUGGCGGCGUGCUUAACACAUGCAAGUCGAACGGAAAGGCCCUGCUCUUGUGGGGUGCUCGAGUGGCGAACGGGUGUGUAACACGUGAGUAACCUGCCCUUGACUUUGGGAUAACUUCAGGAAACUGGGGCUAAUACCGGAUAGGAGCUCCUGCUGCAUGGGGGGGGUUGGAAAGUUUCGGCGGUUGGGGAUGGACUCGCGGCUUAUCAGCUUGUUGGUGGGGUAGUGGCUUACAAAGGGUUUGACGGGUAGCCGGCCUGAGAGGGUGACCGGCCACAUUGGGCCUGAGAUACGGCCCAGACUCCUACGGGAGGCAGCGGUGGGGAAUAUUGCACAAUGGGCGGAAGCCUGAUGCAGCAACGCCGCGUGCGGAAUAACGGCCUUCGGGUUGUAAACCGCUUUCGCCUGUGACGAGGCGUGAGUGACGGUAAUGGGUAAAGAAGCACCGGCUAACUACGUG
rnacentral:rRNA from 1 species